rnacentral:rRNA from 1 species
GACGAACGCUGGCGGCGUGCCUAAUACAUGCAAGUCGAGCGAAGUUUUUCUGGUGCUUGCACCGGAAAAACUUAGCGGCGAACGGGUGAGUAACACGUAAAGAACCUGCCUCAUAGACUGGGACAACUAUUGGAAACGAUAGCUAAUACCGGAUAACAGCAUUAACUGCAUGGUUGAUGUUUAAAAGUUGGUUUUGCUAACACUAUGAGAUGGCUUUGCGGUGCAUUAGCUAGUUGGUGGGGUAAAGGCCUACCAAGGCGACGAUGCAUAGCCGACCUGAGAGGGUGAUCGGCCACACUGGGACUGAGACACGGCCCAGACUCCUACGGGAGGCAGCAGUAGGGAAUCUUCCGCAAUGGGCGAAAGCCUGACGGAGCAACGCCGCGUGAGUGAAGAAGGAUUUCGGUUCGUAAAGCUCUGUUGUUAGGGAAGAAUGAUUGUGUAGUAACUAUACACAGUAGAGACGGUACCUAACCAGAAAGCCGCGGCUAACUACGUG